rnacentral:rRNA from 1 species
AUUGAACGCUGGCGGCAGGCCUAACACAUGCAAGUCGAACGAGUGGCGGACGGGUGAGUAAUGUCUGGGAAACUGCCUGAUGGAGGGGGAUAACUACUGGAAACGGUAGCUAAUACCGCAUACCAUCGGAUGUGCCCAGAUGGGAUUAGCUAGUAGGUGGGGUAAAGGCUCACCUAGGCGACGAUCCCUACCUGGUCUGAGAGGAGGCCCAGCCACACGGGAACGGAGACACGGUCCAGACUCCUACGGGAGGCAGCAGUGGGGAAGAUUGCACAAUGGGCGCAAGCCUGAUGCAGCCAGGCCGCGUGUAUGAAGGAGGCCUUCGGGUUGUAAAGUACGUUCAGCGGGGAGGCGGUACCCGCAGAAGAAGCACCGGCUAACUCCGUGCCAGCAGCCGCGGUAAUUC